AUUAGGAGUUGAGGUGUCUUCAUGGCAAUAAGUUUUCCUUCUUCUGUUAUAAUUGCUAGGUGAUUAACUUCCUAGAAAUAUCAAGUUUGGAUUAAUAUAUUGUCCUUGGGUGGUACCAGAGCUUCAGAUUACCUUGGUGUGCAUGUAGAUAUUAAAUAUUGAAAGCUGUUUUCAUGUUCUCACGUGAUGGAGCUCUGGGUAAACAAGUCCUGCUGAGCAGUUUGGGAAUUAUGUACACACUGGUUUGCCUUAGGAAAUCUGCCAUUUAAGCCUUUGUCCUGAUUUUUGAUGGCUAUAGUAAUAGGAGUGGUAGACAAGGAACCAUAGCAGCGAGUGUUACUGAGAGGAGGAACCAUUGUCCUGACAUUGUGAAGAAAAUCUGUUUAAGCUCAUGAAUAACUGAAAUGCUUACCAACUACUGUCACUAAUCCUCAUGAAACAAUUUUCAAUCUUCUUUUUCUUCCAAAGGCAUUCAAAAGCAAAAGGCUCUGAUGUUGUAUAGUGUCUUUGCUUCAAGAUUUGUUCCCCAUGUGUUCAAUCUGGAGACAAACAAAUCACCUUCUGCUGUUCAACAGUUGCAUAUUGUUCAAAAGGUUUCUGCAACAGCUUUCCAAAAUGAAAAAACAUGAGGGCUUCUGACCAGGAGCAGUGGAGAUUUUUCCUGGUUGUGGACUACUGAGCUCACCUUGGGAACUCCAAAGACAUGUGUGAAUUCAUAUAGAAUAAAAUACUUAUAGAAUGGACAUUUGAAUCUGGUAGAGUUGAAGGAUGCUUUAAUGGAAAAAACGUCUGUUUUCUUUAAGUAAGUGGAACUUUCCAAGCUGUCAUGAAAUUAAUUUCAGUUUUCAUUUGGGUGUAGGUUGUAGGAGUAUCUCACUUGAAAUUAUAAUCUACACUUACAAAAACAGUGUCAUUUUUCUACCAAUUCAACAACAAAGUAAAUUUAAAUCCUACAUGAGAAGAGGUGGGCAGAUGUUAAACAGGCUUCCAGUGGCACUUCCAGUGGAAAUUCUGUUAAUUCCUUCCAUGGUUUUAGCAUGUAUUUAGCGGUAGAGUAAUGGAUUUUUUUUUUUUUUUUUAGGACCGAGAAAGCAAAACUGCAUGCUAAAUUUUCAGGGGCUUGACAGUGGUAGUGUACUGUAACCCUGUUUUUUCUCAGCACACGGGAUUCAGUCUUAAAACCAGAAUUGUUUGAUUGUUCCUAAAGGGUGUGCAGUGAGGUUACUGCUCAUAAGAUGAGCUGUGAACACUGUGCAUUCAUCUAGCCCAAAGCAAAUGCAAAAUAAUGCAAUGUAGCUUGACCUUUUCUCAUUGCAGGUUAACCUGAGUCUAAUUAGCCUAGGUUUGCCUUAGGCUAAAAGUGGACGGGAAUCACAGCUUGGCUGAGUAAUAACUUUUUAACUCUUUGUAACUUGCUUUUGUAUUUACAUCCUGCGCUGUUAGGGGGGAAGCUAGGAGCUGGAGGUAGAACAAAGGAGGACAAACCAAAAGUGCUUGUUGCAGCAGUAGUAGUCACCUGCUAGAAAUUUACACUGAAGCUCAGCACUAAACAUCUGCUCAGUGUUGUGCACCGGCUUCACUAACUUACAGGCCAAACAGUUUUAAGAACAAUCCCCAAAAUAAAAAGUGGACCAGUAACUUAGUAUCAACAGCACGAGGGCUUUUUUUCUUUUUUCCCCUUUUGACAUUGUGAGAAAAUGUGCAGGGUCAAAAUUUAUACUAGUGUCUAAAGCGAAGUUCUUAAGUUUUAAUUUUGUUUGCCUUUGUGGUAUUGGGUGAGCUACAUCUUAAAUAUCACAUCUAUUUCUUUAAACUUGUCUAAUUUUUAUUAGCCAUUGUGAAAGUAUUUCAAUUCAGGUCUGUUUCUCACUGACUCCAAAUAAGGUCGCUGAAUUGGGGAUUCAGUACUCUGGGCUUAAAGUUUAGAACAAAGAAAUAACCAGUUUUGAGACACUUGUUUUUUCUGUGCUCUGUAAAAUCACAGAUUCGUUAAUUUGCUCUGAAAGUACUCUAGAUAGCUUAAGAAAUAAACUGUCAGUUUGUAUGCUGAAGUAGUUGUGGCAAUGCACUUUUGGAACUUUCCUUUCAAAAUGUGAGUAGAAGCUUUUUUUCUUUUUUUCUAUUUUGCAUGGUAUGUGCUUUCCUUACUGUGUGUUCUGCAGUAAAAGGUCAUUGCAGCUUGAGCUACCAGUUGGGAUAUUUGUAGCUUAUACUGUCAAGUCACAUCCAGAAGUUCAUGCAAAUUUUUGAAGUUUAUUUUUUCACCAGCGUAGCUGAAAAGCAGGAAUUUCACUACCUUGUUUCAAUUAAUGUGUAACGUAAUGAAACUAAGAAUUAUACAGCUACAUUCUAAAUUCUAAAUUUGCAAAAUGACAUGUAGCUAGCAUGAAAUUUGGUUUCACAAGUUAUUAAAAAAUUCCUUAUGUGAGGCUUUAAACCCCACACUUGCAAAUAACUUGUUUAGCUAGUGGUGGUAUGUACCAGGUAGUCUCAGCAUGUUUAUGCCUUUGAGUGUGGUUCAAAAUCUCCAACACUUCAGUCUAGUUUUUGUAGCUAGAAAUAAAUA